GCCAGGCAUGGUGGCACAUGCCUGUAGUCUCAGUUACUCAGUAGGCUGAGGCAGGAGGAUCGCUGGAGCCCAGUUCUGGGCUGUAGUGUGCUAUGCCGAUCAGGUGUUCAUACUAAGUUUGGCAUCAAUAUAGUGAUCUCCCAGGAGCCGCGGACCACCAGCCUGCCUAGAGGAGGACUGAACUGACCCAGGUCAGAAAUGGAGGAGGUCAAAACCCCUUACUGAUCAGUAGUGGGAUUGUGCCUGUGACUAGUCACUGCACUCCAGCCUGGGCAACAUAGCAAGACCCUGUCGCU
rnacentral:SRP_RNA from 1 species